CAGCAGUCGCCACGGGAAUACGUAGGGUGCAAGCGUUAAUCGGAAUUACUGGGCGUAAAGCGUGCGCAGGCGGUUAUAUAAGACAGAUGUGAAAUCCCCGGGCUCAACCUGGGAACUGCAUUUGUGACUGUAUAGCUAGAGUACGGCAGAGGGGGAUGGAAUUCCGCGUGUAGCAGUGAAAUGCGUAGAUAUGCGGAGGAACACCGAUGGCGAAGGCAAUCCCCUGGGCCUGUACUGACGCUCAUGCACGAAAGCGUGGGGAGCAAACAGGAUUAGAUACCCGCGUAGUCCCUGUCUCUUAUAC
rnacentral:rRNA from 1 species